AAAGAAUGAUGCAAAACUAUUUUUGUGAUGUGUUCCUAAUAUGAAAUAUAAGUGUAUUGGGAAUAUUUUGCAUCCAUGGUUUUGUAUCAAUAAGUGGAAAAAAUA
rnacentral:pre_miRNA from 1 species